rnacentral:rRNA from 1 species
AUUGAACGCUGGCGGCAGGCCUAACACAUGCAAGUCGAGCGGAUGAAGGGAGCUUGCUCCUGGAUUCAGCGGCGGACGGGUGAGUAAUGCCUAGGAAUCUGCCUGGUAGUGGGGGAUAACGUCCGGAAACGGGCGCUAAUACCGCAUACGUCCUGAGGGGGAAGGUGGGGGUUCUUGGACCCCAAGCCUAUCAGAUGAGCCUAGGUCGGAUUAGCUAGUUGGUGGGGUAAAGGCCUACCAAGCCGACGAUCCGUAACUGGUCUGAGAGGAUGAUCAGUCACACUGGAACUGAGACACGGUCCAGACUCCUACGGGAGGCAGCAGUGGGGAAUAUUGGACAAUGGGCGAAAGCCUGAUCCAGCCAUGCCGCGUGUGUGAAGAAGGUCUUCGGAUUGUAAAGCACUUUAAGUUGGGAGGAAGGGCAGUAAGUUAAUACCUUGCUGUUUUGACGUUACCAGCAGAAUAAGCACCGGCUAACUUCGUG